AACGGCCGUAUCAUGCUGAAUAUACCGGCUCUCGUUAGAUCACCGAAGUCAAGCAUCAUUGGGUCCGGUCAGUACUUGGGUGGGUGACCACCUGGGAACACCGCGUGCCGUU
rnacentral:rRNA from 1 species